rnacentral:rRNA from 1 species
CGGCAACAGCUCAAAUUUGAAAUCUGGCUCUUUCAGGGUCCGAGUUGUAAUUUGUAGAAGAUGCUUUGGGUGUGGCUCCGGUCUAAGUUCCUUGGAACAGGACGUCAUAGAGGGUGAGAGCCCCGUCUGGUUGGAUGCCAAAUCUCUGUAAAGUUCCUUCAAC